rnacentral:rRNA from 1 species
GCUUCUCUGAUGUUAGCGGCGGACGGGUGAGUAACACGUGGAUAACCUACCUAUAAGACUGGGAUAACUUCGGGAAACCGGAGCUAAUACCGGAUAAUAUUUUGAACCGCAUGGUUCAAAAGUGAAAGACGGUCUUGCUGUCACUUAUAGAUGGAUCCGCGCUGCAUUAGCUAGUUGGUAAGGUAACGGCUUACCAAGGCAACGAUGCAUAGCCGACCUGAGAGGGUGAUCGGCCACACUGGAACUGAGACACGGUCCAGACUCCUACGGGAGGCAGCAGUAGGGAAUCUUCCGCAAUGGGCGAAAGCCUGACGGAGCAACGCCGCGUGAGUGAUGAAGGUCUUCGGAUCGUAAAACUCUGUUAUUAGGGAAGAACAUAUGUGUAAGUAACUGUGCACAUCUUGACGGUACCUAAUCAGAAAGCCACGGCUAACUACGUGCCAGCAGCCGCGGUAAUACGUAGGUGGCAAGCGUUAUCCGGAAUUAUUGGGCGUAAAGCGCGCGUAGGCGGUUUUUUAAGUCUGAUGUGAAAGCCCACGGCUCAACCGUGGAGGGUCAUUGGAAACUGGAAAACUUGAGUGCAGAAGAGGAAAGUGGAAUUCCAUGUGUAGCGGUGAAAUGCGCAGAGAUAUGGAGGAACACCAGUGGCGAAGGCGACUUUCUGGUCUGUAACUGACGCUGAUGUGCGAAAGCGUGGGGAUCAAACAGGAUUAGAUACCCUGGUAGUCCACGCCGUAAACGAUGAGUGCUAAGUGUUAGGGGGUUUCCGCCCCUUAGUGCUGCAGCUAACGCAUUAAGCACUCCGCCUGGGGAGUACGACCGCAAGGUUGAAACUCAAAGGAAUUGACGGGGACCCGCACAAGCGGUGGAGCAUGUGGUUUAAUUCGAAGCAACGCGAAGAACCUUACCAAAUCUUGACAUCCUUUGACAACUCUAGAGAUAGAGCCUUCCCCUUCGGGGGACAAAGUGACAGGUGGUGCAUGGUUGUCGUCAGCUCGUGUCGUGAGAUGUUGGGUUAAGUCCCGCAACGAGCGCAACCCUUAAGCUUAGUUGCCAUCAUUAAGUUGGGCACUCUAAGUUGACUGCCGGUGACAAACCGGAGGAAGGUGGGGAUGACGUCAAAUCAUCAUGCCCCUUAUGAUUUGGGCUACACACGUGCUACAAUGGACAAUACAAAGGGCAGCGAAACCGCGAGGUCAAGCAAAUCCCAUAAAGUUGUUCUCAGUUCGGAUUGUAGUCUGCAACUCGACUACAUGAAGCUGGAAUCGCUAGUAAUCGUAGAUCAGCAUGCUACGGUGAAUACGUUCCCGGGUCUUGUACACACCGC